GCGGUGGUAGUUCAGCGGUAGAAUGUCUCCCUUCCAAGGAGAAGGUCGCCGGUUCGAAUCCGGUCCACCGCU
rnacentral:tRNA from 1 species